rnacentral:rRNA from 1 species
AUUGAACGCUGGCGGCAGGCUUAACACAUGCAAGUCGAGCGGAGAUGAGGUGCUUGCACCUUAUCUUAGCGGCGGACGGGUGAGUAAUGCUUAGGAAUCUGCCUAUUAGUGGGGGACAACAUUCCGAAAGGAAUGCUAAUACCGCAUACGUCCUACGGGAGAAAGCAGGGGAUCUUCGGACCUUGCGCUAAUAGAUGAGCCUAAGUCGGAUUAGCUAGUUGGUGGGGUAAAGGCCUACCAAGGCGACGAUCUGUAGCGGGUCUGAGAGGAUGGUCCGCCACACUGGGACUGAGACACGGCCCAGACUCCUACGGGAGGCAGCAGUGGGGAAUAUUGGACAAUGGGGGAAACCCUGAUCCAGCCAUGCCGCGUGUGUGAUGAAGGCCUUAUGGUUGUAAAGCACUUUAAGCGAGGAGGAGGCUACUGAGACUAAUACUCUUGGAUAGUGGACGUUACUCGCAGAAUAAGCACCGGCUAACUCUGUGCCAGCCGCCGCCGUAA